AUGAUCAAGAAAAAUAAUUUGAUAAGACAUUGUCAACCUUAACGACGGAAGUGAAUAGGGUUGUACAUGUGUGUCAGAAAACAAGAGUUUAUACAGAUUUAUAUCUUCAUUUAUAUAUUACAUUUAUACCCAACUGUAGUUAAGUUAGCGACCCCUUGAUAUGAUAUAUACAUGUACAUUGUACUACUAUUGUAGGGAUUUCUUCAUAUAAUGAUUGACUAUUCCGGGCACUGACCUGGUCUGAGUGGGUACUCUGUAGCCGUGUCCGCAGAGUGGUCAGUGGAUUUUGUAACCUCGGUGGAAUGGUGGCCUGUAGUGACUUGAGACCGGCUUGAGGUAGCUUGUGAGGACCCUUUGCUAACUGAACAAAGAAAGUAGAAGGAUGGCGUUGUGAUUUGACAAUAGAGAGAGAGAGAGUAAUCUGGAGACCAUCUGACGUACUAUGGUCCGGUGUAGUUUUCCCUGCUGUAUACCCUGAACCUGUCGUCUGCCCAUUCGACGUGGGAUCGCUACUGCUCGACUUUGUCGUUAGCUUGUGCAUGUGUUCAUCCGUGUGGAAGGAAGUUGUUGCAGCGAAAGAUGAGGUUUCAUCAACUACAAGGAUAUAUUGAAUCCUAAAUCGAACGAUAUUCUUAACAGAAGUCAUUGAAUGAAGUUAAUAGAGGAAAUGCAUAGUUGACGACGAGAAUUCUAGCUAUUCUUCAUUAUUCGCUCAGACUUGCAUGUAGAUCACAGAAAAGAUGAAUAUCUAUCAACGUAUUUCAGCGUAGUUGCAGUGUCAUUUUUGAAGUUGAUGUCGAAUAAAGGGAUUCUUUAUAUCUUAGCCAAGAAAUAAGAAUAAAACUUUAGUC